ensembl:snoRNA
CCCUUUCAAAAAGCACUUGCUUUGUCUGGUCAGUAGCUGGGUGAGUUGUCGAAGAAGGGUAUAGUAAUCAUCACUGGUGGGUGAGAUGGCAGUCACCUAUACUGAACAGUCUCAAUCCGUGAUGGAACAACU